AGAAAGUUAGUCUAAUCAUGACAGUUGAUUUCGACUCAACAGAUCACAGCCCAACCCUGUGACUUUCUU
rnacentral:tRNA from 1 species